rnacentral:rRNA from 1 species
GAACUGCGAAUGGCUCAUUAAAUCAGUUAUCGUUUAUUUGAUAGUACCUUACUACUUGGAUAACCGUGGUAAUUCUAGAGCUAAUACAUGCUGACAACCCCAACUUCGGGAGGGGUGUAUUUAUUAGAUAAAAAACCAACGCCCUUCGGGGCUUCUUGGUGAUUCAUGAUAACUUUACGGAUCGCAUGGCCUUGCGCCGGCGACGGUUCAUUCAAAUUUCUGCCCUAUCAACUUUCGAUGGUAAGGUAUUGGCUUACCAUGGUUUCAACGGGUAACGGGGAAUUAGGGUUCGAUUCCGGAGAGGGAGCCUGAGAAACGGCUACCACAUCCAAGGAAGGCAGCAGGCGCGCAAAUUACCCAAUCCCGACACGGGGAGGUAGUGACAAUAAAUACUGAUACAGGGCUCUUUUGGGUCUUGUAAUUGGAAUGAGUACAAUUUAAACCUCUUAACGAGGAACAAUUGGAGGGCAAGUCUGGUGCCAGCAGCCGCGGUAAUUCCAGCUCCAAUAGCGUAUAUUAAAGUUGUUGCAGUUAAAAAGCUCGUAGUUGAACCUUGGGUCUGGCUGGCAGGUCCGCCUCACCGCGUGUACUUGUCCGGCCGGGCCUUCCUUCUGGAGAACCUCAUGCCCUUCACUGGGCGUGUUGGGGACCAGGACUUUUACUUUGAAAAAAUUAGAGUGUUCAAAGCAGGCCUUUGCUCGAAUACGUUAGCAUGGAAUAAUAGAAUAGGACGUGCGGUCCUAUUUUGUUGGUUUCUAGGACCGCCGUAAUGAUUAAUAGGGACAGUCGGGGGCAUCAGUAUUCAAUUGUCAGAGGUGAAAUUCUUGGAUUUAUUGAAGACUAACUACUGCGAAAGCAUUUGCCAAGGAUGUUUUCAUUAAUCAGUGAACGAAAGUUAGGGGAUCGAAGACGAUCAGAUACCGUCGUAGUCUUAACCGUAAACUAUGCCGACUAGGGAUCGGGCGAUGUUCUUU